CAAGGAGUAGUUUAUUGAAAAUAUUAAUUUUGGAGAUUAAUGAAGAAGGAAGGGGUAAAGUUCUUUCUCUUUGA
rnacentral:tRNA from 1 species